GCAAGUAUGAUUUCCUCUUGUUCAGAUCACCUGACUCCCAAGACCAGGUGGGACACUUGGAUACGAGAUUAUCACCGGCGAUGAUGAACUCAGAGACACUGAGAACGCCUUUCUCUUUGAAGGCGGAGACGGUUCGAGGGCCUGUGAUUCUCUCAACAGUUCCUUUGAAGGCUUCGUGAAGCUUCUGCGACAAAACCAUGAUCUCAAUCUGUCUGGGAUUAAUUGAUAGAUGAAUUCAGAUGAAAGAAAUUGGAAAUUGGAAGAGAAAUUUGGAAUCCCCAACGGAAGCUUGACUCUGAU
rnacentral:misc_RNA from 1 species